rnacentral:lncRNA from 1 species
GACCAACGAGUCAGAGGCAAGAUAACUGAAAGCCUCUGUCCCCACUGUCUUCCGAGAGCUGUGGUUUGACCAGGCAGCCCCCUAUGCCUCUUCCAGACUCAGGCUUCUCUCUGCUUCUGCAGUUUCUCCAGAGAAAGGAAAAGCCAGCAGUAUGCUUCUCAUUGAUCUGAGAAAAACUUGUCCAAGUCAGAUACGGAUAGACGCACAUACUUCAUCUAAAAAAAAAAUGGCAAUUACAUUAAUAUUGAUAAAAAUAAUAAAUAGCUUUCCAAGGGGGAAAGCAUAGCCUGCAAAAAGACAUCUGUGAUAUAUGGCUCACAAACUCAAAAUUUAGAUUCAGUACCCAAGGGCUGUCGGCUGAUUUAUAAAAUGCCUUUACUACAUUGGAUUCAAGUGCCAGACUCUUCAUGUUCUCCCUCAUUGACAAAGGGCAGUGGAUUUCUGGAAAUCUAUUUUCAGUAGACUUCAGUAACUCAAUUUUACCUAUCCACACUGUGUGGUAUAGUAUCAUCAUGUAAAAAUCAGAAGCAUCAAAAAUCAGACAAACCUAGACUCACUCCUCAAUUCUUUUACCAGGUGAAUGAAAAAGUGAUUAUUUUAUAAAAGGAAUGCUAGUUAGCAUUCCUGGGAGAAGUGAGUCUCUAUGGCUUGCCCUUUUGAAACUGGUUUCCAAACAAAAUGCAUACUCAUGAAUAUUUAUUGAUCAUAAAAGUUUGGCAGAUUAGAGCAGAAGAAGGGUAGCAUGAGGAGUACCAACUCUUAAACCUGAGGACUCAUGUCUGCACUACACCUUAUACAACAGUGUCUGUGAAAUGGUUAAAGAGUAAAAACCCAAUCUGUUGCAGCCAGAAAGGAGUACUCCACCUAUUACACAGCAAGGCCAAUAGAUUGCUUGUUAUUUUAAGUGUUAUUUAAAUUAUCUCCCUAGGGAAGAUAAUUUUCAGCUGCCUCUCCAUCUUCUUAAAGAAGAGCAGAAUUUAACACAUCUCGUCUUUGUGAAAAACAAAGACACUGAAGCAAUGGUCAGAAAGAAAAGGAAUAAAGACAAAGUCAAGGAAAGAGCCAUACAAGGACAGUUAGCAUAAGAUAGUUGUUCUCAAUGUAGGCUAUCCAGAACAGCACUGUCAACCUCACCGCGGAACUUGAAAGAAGUGCAAAUCCUUGAGACUGACUCCAAGUCUACUGAAUCAGAAAUUCUGGGGGUGAAGUCCAUCAAUCUUUGGUUGAACAAAACACAACCAAUCUCACAUUUAUGGAAGUUUCAUAUAUGAAGUCAUAAAAGUCACUAGAAAGGCAAGAAGAACCAGGGAGCUGACAUGUUCCUAGAUCCAGGAGCCACCCAGUGGAUUGACGAUUCUUAUCAUAAUAAGACUUCCUUGAACCAUCCCCCACCCAACCCUUUUCCAGAAAGAGUUGAAGACAAAUCUACAGUGAAUAGGAGGCUGAGGCCACCACACCACAGCUUCCAGUGCAAGUGUCCUUGUGCCCUGGUGCCUGAUAUCCAGCUCCGGCAGCCUAGAAAAUCAGUUAGGCUUUUCAGUCACAGCACCCUCUGUGACAAACGUGUGGAGCACCGCACGACUUCUUCAACCAGCUGGUUUUUCUGGCAUUCGAAUAAAAGUAAAAAUAGAAAACAAAGAGGGAGAAGAAAAGUGACAAGCUGAAACCUGCGAAGAGAAAGAGGACAAGAACCUGUAUGUACCCAGUGGUGUGGAUAAAUCGUUAUGUAUCUGCCUACGCAUUGUCAGAAAUACAGCAGCCUAAGUAGCCAUUCAAGGAAUUUAGAGUAAAGUACCAUGGUCAGAAUUCAAGAUAUAGCCACUACAGGAUCUGAAAUGCCAUCUGUUCCAACCGCACGACAUCCCCAUUCAGCAGGCUCACAAGGCUGGCAUAGACAGGAAGAGGGACCCCUCUGUUGUCCUCUACUCUCUUCUUCAACUGAGCAAUGAGCAGAAGAUUUAAGUUUGGGAUUUUUUCACUAUUUUUCCCAAACGCAUGAACAGGUUCUUCUCAAACUGCAAGAGUCGAUUCAAAAUCCAGACAGCUUUCACCACCCAAGGAUUCAGGGAAGUGUUUAUUUCUUUGUCUCAGAAUCUCUUUAAACAUGGCACCUACAAUGACAAAUUGUAAAUAGCCACGUCCAAUAAGUUUAUGCGUAACCUUACCUGACUUUUCCAUGGAACUCCAUUAUAUAACUAGAAGCAUUUCUCCACAAGCGGAAAAAAAAUGGAACCAGAAGAGAAACAAAGCACAUUUGAGCAUACAAUAAAUAAUGAUAUGAAAUGAACAAGUUGAUCUGGUCUUGAGGGAGGAGGAGGCACAGGAACACAGUAAAGGAACCUAUCUGAGGAGCUGCAGACAUGAACCAACAAAGGUCAAACCCCACCUGGAAAAUGAAUUGUGUCCAAAUGAGACCCCUUUAAUGACAGGAUUUGAAACAAUCUCAUUAUGAAACAAUUGCAGUCAAUGGGAAUCCUGAGUCUUCAAGGAAGUAAAAAGAAAAAAAAAUCUCUGUUAUCCUCACAUAUUUAAAGAUUCUCAUAUAAAAGCUUCUCCGAAGAGAACAGCUUGUCCUGUUUAGCUUCAAAGAAGAGAAUGAGGAGGAAGGUCGAGGGAAAAUUACAGAAAAGCAGACUUUGACUUGACACGUGGAAGGACUUCUCACUAAUGCUAUUCCCAAAUACAAUGAGUUGUUUCCGUGAUUGGAGGACUUGAAGAUGUAUAAGUUAUCCACAGGGAUGUUGCAGAGGAAAUUUGACCAUCAUAUGGGUGAAUUAACUGAUAUCUAUGAUCUUUAUUUCUCCUGAGAGUCCAUAAAAGGUAGUGUAAAACCAGCCCAAAUAGUGGUUUACAAGUGCACUGGGUAUGUUAUGUAAGAUUUCUGCUUUCCUGAUGAGGCCCCAAAGCUGAGAGCAAUGAAUGAUACAACAAACACAGCAUCCCCACAGAAUUUUCUAAGAGGUAGACAAAAUUGGCUCUGCAACCUUUAGCCUAUGGUCCACCACUGCCCUAUGUAAGGAAAGGUAAGAAAUUCAAGAGAGAUUAAUCAGAGAGGGAAGGCAAAUGGAAUGAAAUUAGUAGAAAUAAGGAGUACUGUGGCAUUUCUCUUCCCUUUGUAUAAUGAAAGAGAGGAGAAUGUAUCUUCUCCCAAAUUCCAAGCUAAGUGAGAGAGGGCAGAAAACCACCUUCUGAGAAAGAAACUGACGAUCCGUCACAGGGAAGAGAUAUCGACCUCCUUACUUAACAUUUUUGAGCUUGAUUAGAGGAUGAUGCAUUAGAUGCCAUUAUAGGACAAAUGUUUUAUGCAGUGAGAUAAUUGUUUGGAAAUUUGACGUAUACCUCUUGGAAUCUGAGGAGCAUGAAGAUCAGUGUAUGACUCUUGCCUGAAAUCAAGGAGAAAGGAAAACCCUGUCAAUGGCACAAAUUUCCAAAGUUUGGGAUGACAAGGACAUCCAGAAGAGCCUGAAGCAAUACUGCAAGUGGGUGCUUUGGUACUGCUUUGAAGCAUCUUUCCAGACUCUGCAGUAGCCAAGGCCUGUGACUCCAGUCCCUGAGAAAGUACCAUCAGGAGCAAUACGUAAGCUUUUCAGGGACAAAGAACCUUGUCCUCUUAAUCUGGAUUCACAAUUCACAAUUAUACCCCUAGCCUGCCCAACGCCUUUUUCUCAGUCUCUGAGAAGUAUUGACUCUCUUUUACCUAAGAGCAGGAGUCUGAAAACUACAGCCUAUGGGCCAAAUCUCUUCUGUUGUGUCCCACAAGGUAACAGUCGCAGUUACAUUUUUAAUUGGUUAAAAAAAUCAAUCAAAAGAACAACACUAUUUUAUAAGAUGAGAAAGAUAUUUAAAAUUCAAAUAUAAAUGCCGAUGAAUAAAAUUUUAUUGGGACAUAGCGAUGCUCAUUCACUUAUGUAUUAUCUAUGACUGGUUUCACAUGGCAGAGUUGAGCAGCUGUGAAAGAGCCUAUUCUUAGGCAAAGCCUGCAAUAUUUGUUAUCUGAACUUUUACAAAAAAUGUUCUCAAUCCCUGCCCAGGAAGAUUGCCUGAGUCUGUCAUCUUACCCCAGCAGCAUCCAUCCCUUUGUAAAUAAGACUUUUGGUAGAAAUGGAAACAAUUAAAAAUAUUUAUAUGCUUUAAAAUAAUACAUUUAAUAAAAGGUAUCUAAAUCCUUGCAUAUAUGACUGUAAUACUCCAGUGUGAUAUUAAUUGCUGGUUGUUUAAUUCCCUCAUUUUAAAUGACAGCACAGAGUUUAAUCAUGGGCAUAUUCUCAAAAAGCAUUCAGAAAUAAAGUCCUUAUGGGUGUUGCCCCUGACUAUACCACAACUCUGAAAGCCACAUGGUGGAUUUAUUUAACCUCCAAUUUUUGGGAACACUUAGUAGCAUACGUGGGCUAAUAUUUGUUAUGGCUCAAUUUACUUUCUCUCUUUUAUCCUGGGGAAAGGAAUACUUUGCUCCCACACUGUGAGGUUUCUGAGAAAGGGUGAAAAAACUAUAAUCAUUCACUUCUCUUGGGCAAGGUGGGAGUGAAAGAAUAACCAAUAAACAAAUAUAUCAAGUGCUCAUCUGUGCAGAAUGCUGCAUGCUUAAUUUAGUUAAAUAUACACAUACAUAAAAGGCACAGCCAUUAUUCCAUCGGAGCCUGAGCCUGAAAUCAGAAUAUGAAGGUCAAACUGGGGUGUAUUUCUGAUUACAGAAUGAAAUCCUCAGACCAGCUGCUCUGUGUGUCCCACUGGGCUCAGUCUUUCUCUCUAGUCCAUCUUUGCUUCCAUGUGCUACUGGUUCUGGAGUGCUAUAGGGGCCCUCAGAGCAUCAUUCUUGCCUCCAAACCUUUGUUCGCUCUGAACCAUCACCUGAGGUCCAUUAUCUGCUACAUUCCUCUUAAACAAAUUUUAUCCCACACUCAAAUGCUCAGAACAAUUCCUACUUCUUUAAAAAUAUCUCUGCUUGGAGUAUUCCGUAGACUCCUCCUUGAAUUUCAUAUUAGCAUUUCAACCGUUGAGUUUAGUCUUCUUGUAUAUCAAGUUUGCAUUUUCCUUGAAUAUUUUAUUUGUACUAGUCAUAAAUUUUCAAUUAAAUGGGAGCUCUUCAUGUUAAAGGCUGCAUCUUUAUUUCUAGUUAAAAAGUCAUACACACACAAACACAUAGUUAAUUUUCAUUAUUCACAGAUUUCAUAUUUGUG